UGUUGAAGAUCUUCCUGAGAUUUUAUGGGCUCACGAUACUCGUAGCUCACUUUCUCACUUCCCGAACCCCAGGCUAAAACUCUAGGGAACUCACCAGAAAUCUUGCACCCACUUUUCUUUCUUUUCUUUCUUUUUCUCUUGGAAGGAUAUGGACUUCCUUCUCAUGCACAAGACAUCUCACGCCCUAGAAUUUUUCUCCAAAAAUCUUCUUCUUGCACGCCCCACUCUUCUCCUCCUUUUAUAACAAUGUCAAACGUCUUAUCCAAAAGAAAGGAUAAAGAUGAGUAAUUGCACAUUUGAAUUCAAAUCAAAUUUUGAAUUCAAAUGGACACAAACUCAUCUCUUAUCCACUAAAGAUGUGAGGCAUGGCUUAAAUUAUACAUGGAGUGAUUUCAUGAGAAACUUUUUCUCAUGUAAUAAAUAGGGCGUAAAAAAAGAGAUAAGGUGCAAAGAUUGAUUGCCCAUUCAAA
rnacentral:lncRNA from 1 species